rnacentral:lncRNA from 13 species
AGUUUUUCUCUUUGAAUUCACAGCCCUUGAAGAGUUCUGUAAGUCUGGUUUGCCACAGAAUAAAGGCCAUCUUAACUAUCUAAGAUUUAAGACCUUUUCAAUGCAACAUCAUCAUACAAUUGACCAUGGCAGACACCUCUGGACCCCACGUUUACCUCUUGGUCUACCUCUGCUUUUAGCUGCUGCUAUGCUUCCAGGUAAGAUUGGGCCAAUAUCCAGUCAAGAAGCCCCAAAACUAGGGAAAUCCCCCACCAGUCUAAUCACAAGUUACGGAGCAGUUGGAGGAGAUAAAGAAAACUGCAACCUAAGGCAGACCACAGAGGUAAAUGCAGAAACAUCCAACCAAGGACUUUGAGGAAGUCUAAGAGGCUGGGAGAGCCAUAAAAGGGUAGGAACUUGGUUUUCUAUUUAUUUUUUGGAAUGAUAAUUUUCCUUUGUUUAACCACUGAGAUUUUUAUUUUAUUUAAUUUUUCCAUAAGUUAUUGGGGUACAGGUGGUAUUUUGUUACGUAAGUGAAUUCUUUAGUGGAUAUUUGUGAGAACCUGGUGCAUGCAUCACCCAAGCAGUAUUUGCACCGUAUCUGUAGUCUUUUAUCCCUCGCCCCACUCCCAUUCUUCCCCUCAAGUCUCCAAAGUCCAUUGUAUUAUUCAUAUGCCAUUGAACACCCAGAAGAAAAGAAGUCAUUAUUUGAAAAAGAUACUUGGACAUGCAUGUUUAUAGCAGCACAAUUCAUGACAGGAAAAUUGUGGAACCAACUCAAAAUCAAAUGCCCAUCAAUCAAUGAGUGGAUAAAGAAACUCUGGUGUGUGUGUGUGUGUACCCACACACACAUAUAGUAUACACACACACACACACACACACAGACAUAUGUAUAUAUAUGUGUGAUGGAUGGAAUACUACUCAGCCAUAAAAAGGAAUGAGUUCACAGCAUUUGCAAUGACC